rnacentral:rRNA from 1 species
UACGAAGGGGGCUAGCGUUGCUCGGAAUUACUGGGCGUAAAGCGCACGUAGGCGGCUUUCUAAGCCGGGGGUGAAAUCCUGGAGCUCAACUCCAGAACUGCCUUCGAUACUGGAGAGCUCGAGUCCGGGAGAGGUGAGUGGAACUGCGAGUGUAGAGGUGAAAUUCGUAGAUAUUCGCAAGAACACCAGUGGCGAAGGCGGCUCACUGGCCCGGUACUGACGCUGAGGUGCGAAAGCUAGGGGAGCAAACGGG